AUGGAGUCAUCUGCCUUCUUUUUGAUUCUGUACACCCAUUUACAAUCGAUGAUAUUUUUGCCUUUUGGGUUUGGUACAAGAUGCCAGGUUUUGUUCCUCAUAAGUGCAGAAUAUUCCUCAUCCAUUGCCUUCUUCCACUUAGGAUCGUCAAGUGCACUACUCAACGUUGUUGGCUCUCCUGAAAUACACAACAUUCCAUAUGGAAUGCUGGCCACAGAAGAUCCUGACGAGCCUGCAUGUGCUGACACAAGGGAAUCUGCCGCCUCCUGCGCAGAUGAUCCUGCAGCCGAAGGUGUGGCCGCCUCCCCAGAGCGCACACAAGGGCCAACCGCCCGGUCCGGCACAGCCGAUCCGCUGCCCGACCGCGGUUGCGGGCGCACGCAGGGCGAGGGGGAUCCGGCCCCACUGCUGGUCCCUCCUGUUGCUGAGGUGGCGGCGCGGGAGUGGCCCUCCCUGGAUUCAUUGCCGCAGCUGACAGAGGCGCGAUCCAAGGCGGAUCUGCUCGCGCGAUUCGAGGUCUGCCCGCGCACAGGAGUUCCAGGCGCCGCGGAUCACCUUCGUUGUCCGUGCCAGAGACCUGCACAGGCAACAGAGAAGAGCAAGUACUAG
rnacentral:rRNA from 1 species